UCUAAGGCCAUACCACCCUGAACACGCCAGAUCUCGGAAGUUAAGCAGGGUCGGGACUGGUGAGUACUUGGAUGGGAGAAAAUGUCAGAAUCUCAUGGGGCCAAUAGAU
ensembl:rRNA 5S_rRNA 5S ribosomal RNA